rnacentral:rRNA from 1 species
GGUUAAGUGACUAAGCGUACACGGUGGAUGCCUAGGCAGUCAGAGGCGAUGAAGGGCGUGCUAAUCUGCGAAAAGCGUCGGUAAGGUGAUAUGAACCGUUAUAACCGGCGAUACCCGAAUGGGGAAACCCAGUGUGUUUCGACACACUAUCAUGUCAUGAAUACAUAGUGGCAUGAGGCGAACCGGGGGAACUGAAACAUCUAAGUACCCCGAGGAAAAGAAAUCAACCGAGAUUCCCCCAGUAGCGGCGAGCGAACGGGGAGGAGCCCAGAACCUGAAUCGGCUUGUGUGUUAGUGGAAGCGUCUGGAAAGUCGCGCAGUAAAGGGUGAUAGCCCCGUACACUAAAAUGCACAGGUCGUGAGUUCGAUGAGUAGGGCGGGACACGUGACAUCCUGUCUGAAUAUGGGGGGACCAUCCUCCAAGGCUAAAUACUCCUGACUGACCGAUAGUGAACCAGUACCGUGAGGGAAAGGCGAAAAGAACCCCGGCGAGGGGAGUGAAAUAGAACCUGAAACCGUGUACGUACAAGCAGUGGGAGCACCUUCGUGGUGUGACUGCGUACCUUUUGUAUAAUGGGUCAGCGACUUAUAUUUUGUAGCAAGGUUAACCGUAUAGGGGAGCCGUAGGGAAACCGAGUCUUAACUGGGCGAAUAGUUGCAAGGUAUAGACCCGAAACCCGGUGAUCUAGCCAUGGGCAGGUUGAAGGUUGGGUAACACUAACUGGAGGACCGAACCGACUAAUGUUGAAAAAUUAGCGGAUGACUUGUGGCUGGGGGUGAAAGGCCAAUCAAACCGGGAGAUAGCUGGUUCUCCCCGAAAGCUAUUUAGGUAGCGCCUCGUGAACUCAUCUUCGGGGGUAGAGCACUGUUUCGGCUAGGGGGCCAUCCCGGCUUACCAAACCGAUGCAAACUCCGAAUACCGAAGAAUGUUAUCACGGGAGACACACGGCGGGUGCUAACGUCCGUCGUGAAGAGGGAAACAACCCAGACCGCCAGCUAAGGUCCCAAAGUCAUGGUUAAGUGGGAAACGAUGUGGGAAGGCAUAGACAGCCAGGAUGUUGGCUUAGAAGCAGCCAUCAUUUAAAGAAAGCGUAAUAGCUCACUGGUCGAGUCGGCCUGCGCGGAAGAUGUAACGGGGCUAAACCAUGCACCGAAGCUGCGGCAGCGACGCUUAGGCGUUGUUGGGUAGGGGAGCGUUCUGUAAGCCGUUGAAGGUGGCCUGUGAGGGUUGCUGGAGGUAUCAGAAGUGCGAAUGCUGACAUAAGUAACGAUAAAGCGGGUGAAAAGCCCGCUCGCCGGAAGACCAAGGGUUCCUGUCCAACGUUAAUCGGGGCAGGGUGAGUCGACCCCUAAGGCGAGGCUGAAAAGCGUAGUCGAUGGGAAACAGGUUAAUAUUCCUGUACUUGGUGUUACUGCGAAGGGGGGACGGAGAAGGCUAGGCUGGCCGGGCGACGGUUGUCCCGGUUUAAGCGUGUAGGGGGUGUGACCUGGUAAAUCCGGUUGCAUAUCAACCCUGAGGCGUGAUGACGAUGCACUACGGUGCAGAAGUAGUUGAUGCCCUGCUUCCAGGAAAAUCCUCUAAGCUCCAGGUAACAUUAAAUCGUACCCCAAACCGACACAGGUGGUCAGGUAGAGAAUACCAAGGCGCUUGAGAGAACUCGGGUGAAGGAACUAGGCAAAAUGGUGCCGUAACUUCGGGAGAAGGCACGCUGGCAUGUAGGUGAAGUCCCUCGCGGAUGGAGCUGAAGCCAGUCGAAGAUACCAGCUGGCUGCAACUGUUUAAUAAAAACACAGCACUGUGCAAACACGAAAGUGGACGUAUACGGUGUGACGCCUGCCCGGUGCUGGAAGGUUAAUUGAUGGGGUCAGCCGCAAGGCGAAGCUCUUGAUCGAAGCCCCAGUAAACGGCGGCCGUAACUAUAACGGUCCUAAGGUAGCGAAAUUCCUUGUCGGGUAAGUUCCGACCUGCACGAAUGGCGUAAUGAUGGCCAGGCUGUCUCCACCCGAGACUCAGUGAAAUUGAACUCGCUGUGAAGAUGCAGUGUACCCGCGGCAAGACGGAAAGACCCCGUGAACCUUUACUAUAGCUUGACACUGAACAUUGAGCCUUGAUGUGUAGGAUAGGUGGGAGGCUUUGAAGCGUGGACGCCAGUCUGCGUGGAGCCAUCCUUGAAAUACCACCCUUUAAUGUUUGAUGUUCUAACUCGGCCCCAUAAUCUGGGGUGAGGACAGUGUCUGGUGGGUAGUUUGACUGGGGCGGUCUCCUCCCAAAGAGUAACGGAGGAGCACGAAGGUUAGCUAAUCACGGUCGGACAUCGUGAGGUUAGUGCAAAGGCAUAAGCUAGCUUGACUGCGAGAGUGACGGCUCGAGCAGGUACGAAAGUAGGUCUUAGUGAUCCGGUGGUUCUGAAUGGAAGGGCCAUCGCUCAACGGAUAAAAGGUACUCCGGGGAUAACAGGCUGAUACCGCCCAAGAGUUCAUAUCGACGGCGGUGUUUGGCACCUCGAUGUCGGCUCAUCACAUCCUGGGGCUGAAGUAGGUCCCAAGGGUAUGGCUGUUCGCCAUUUAAAGUGGUACGCGAGCUGGGUUUAGAACGUCGUGAGACAGUUCGGUCCCUAUCUGCCGUGGGCGUUGGAAGAUUGAGAGGGGUUGCUCCUAGUACGAGAGGACCGGAGUGAACGCACCACUGGUGUUCGGGUUGUCAUGCCAAUGGCAUUGCCCGGUAGCUAAGUGCGGAAAAGAUAAGCGCUGAAAGCAUCUAAGCGCGAAACUUGCCUCAAGAUGAGUCUUCCCUGGGCCUUUAAGGCCCCUGAAGGAACGUUUAAGACUAAGACGUUGAUAGGCUGGGUGUGUAAGUGCAGCGAUGCAUUGAGCUAACCAGUACUAAUGAUCCGUGAGGCUUAACCUU